GCUCAAAUUUGAAAUCCUUCGGGAGUUGUAAUUUGUAGGUUGGGAGACCCCGCGGCUAGUGGCACCAAGUCCCUUGGAACAGGGCGCCUUAGAGGGUGAGAGCCCCGUAGGUACCACAACACCGUCUUGUGUCUCCUCUCCAAAGAGUCGAGUUGUUUGGGAAUGCAGCUCAAAGUGGGUGGUAAAUUCCAUCUAAAGCUAAAUACCGGCGAGAGACCGAUAGCGAACAAGUACAGUGAUGGAAAGAUGAAAAGCACUUUGAAAAGAGAGUGAAACAGUACGUGAAAUUGUUGAAAGGGAAGGGCUUGCAAGCAGACACGGCCUUCGUGCCGGGCCAGCAUCGGUUGCUAGGGGUGGAUAAGGAACAAGGAAUGUAGCUCCUCGGAGUAUUAUAGCCUUGCGCGAUACACCCACUGGCGACCGAGGCCUGCGGUAUUCUUUACCUAGGAUGCUGGCGUAAUGGUUGCAAGCCGCCCGUCUUGAAACACGGACC
rnacentral:rRNA from 1 species